GAUUAGCGGCGGACGGGUGAGUAACACGUGGGCAACCUGCCUCAAAGUGGGGAAUAGCCCUCCGAAAGGAGGAUUAAUACCGCAUAACAUGAAGGAGUCGCAUGGUACCUUCAUUAAAGAUUUAUCGCUUUGAGAUGGGCCCGCGGCGCAUUAGCUAGUUGGUGAGGUAACGGCUCACCAAGGCGACGAUGCGUAGCCGACCUGAGAGGGUGAUCGGCCACAUUGGAACUGAGACACGGUCCAGACUCCUACGGGAGGCAGCAGUGGGGAAUAUUGCGCAAUGGGGGAAACCCUGACGCAGCAACGCCGCGUGAGUGAUGAAGGUCUUCGGAUUGUAAAACUCUGUCUUUGGGGACG
rnacentral:rRNA from 2 species